GACGAACGCUGGCGGCGUGCUUAACACAUGCAAGUCGAACGGAAAGGCCCUGCUUUUGUGGGGUGCUCGAGUGGCGAACGGGUGAGUAACACGUGAGUAACCUGCCCUUGACUUUGGGAUAACUUCAGGAAACUGGGGCUAAUACCGGAUAGGAGCUCCUGCUGCAUGGUGGGGGUUGGAAAGUUUCGGCGGUUGGGGAUGGACUCGCGGCUUAUCAGCUUGUUGGUGGGGUAGUGGCUUACCAAGGCUUUGACGGGUAGCCGGCCUGAGAGGGUGACCGGCCACAUUGGGACUGAGAUACGGCCCAGACUCCUACGGGAGGCAACAGUGGGGAAUAUUGCACAAUGGGCGGAGGCCUGAUGCAGCAACGCCGCGUGCGGGAUGACGGCCUUCGGGUUGUAAACCGCUUUCGCCUGUGACGAAGCGUGAGUGACGGUAAUGGGUAAAGAAGCACCGGCUAACUACGU
rnacentral:rRNA from 1 species